UGCAAGGCCGAGGACUGUACAAGUGAAGCUGAUUGCACGAACACGAUGUGUAACACUGGCUGGAAAGUCAUUUGUACCACAACAGUUCCCAGAACGUGCACGUGUAGUUCGACUGUGUUUAGUUGUACAGUUAAAGCGGACUGCGAGUACCUGUUUAGAAAUGGUACUUUGACCGAUUGUAUUUCCGCCGGCCACGCCCACUGCUACGAUGCCAAAUGCAUUUGUACACAUUUUUAAUUUCGUUUGGAAUAUUCAUUGUUUCGAAUGGAGUAUUUAUAUACCAA